AGUGAACGCUGGCGGUAGGCCUAACACAUGCAAGUCGAACGGCAGCACAGUAAGAGCUUGCUCUUACGGGUGGCGAGUGGCGGACGGGUGAGGAAUACAUCGGAAUCUACUUUUUCGUGGGGGAUAACGUAGGGAAACUUACGCUAAUACCGCAUACGACCUACGGGUGAAAGCAGGGGAUCUUCGGACCUUGCGCGAUUGAAUGAGCCGAUGUCGGAUUAGCUAGUUGGCGGGGUAAAGGCCCACCAAGGCGACGAUCCGUAGCUGGUCUGAGAGGAUGAUCAGCCACACUGGAACUGAGACACGGCCCAGACUCCUACGGGAGGCAACAGUGGGGAAUAUUGGACAAUGGGCGCAAGCCUGAUCCAGCCAUACCGCGUGGGUGAAGAAGGCCUUCGGGUUGUAAAGCCCUUUUGUUGGGAAAGAAAAGCAGCAGGUUAAUACCCCGCUGUUCUGACGGUACCCAAAGAAUAAGCACCGGCUAACUUCGUG
rnacentral:rRNA from 1 species